GAGUAAAUUAAAUCAUAUACAUAUG
rnacentral:piRNA from 1 species